AUGUUGGACCACAUUCUUUCUGCAGCGAGUGCCACGGUUGCCCUUGUUUCCCUUCAUUUCAGAAUGCUGACACCAAACACAAGGUGCCACGUCCCUGCCAACCUGUCUGUCCUCGAGUGCUGGGUGAUGACUGCCAACUUCAGUCAUCUGCUGAGUGCUCGCUGCCCACCUUGUUCUACCUAUGCAAAAGGCACAUCUCUCUGUGGCCCUGCAAGGUUUUGUGUUCUUUACGUGGGCUCUGCCUGCCCUGCACUCCGGAUCCAUCUGUCUGGUGGCCUCAUGAUAGUCUUUCACGGGUCCAGGAGGUGUUUGUGCUCUGCCCUCAGCUGCCAUGACCACACGUCCCCAGCUCUCACUGCUGUGCUGUGUGCUGCCAAUACAGCAUGGAGCAAGGACAGUGCAGCAGGCAGCACACGAACAAGGGAUACAGCCAGAGGGAGUGAUCAGCAUAAGGGUUCUUGUACACCUGUGUCUCACUGGAGCAGAGCAGUGCCUGUUUUCCUGGACCUGUAGUCUAUCUGCCCACAGCACAGCCAAGCAGGGGACAUCUUUCUUCUUGCGUGGCAGUAAGAAUUCAGCCGUGGCCCCAUGGCCUGUCAAAGGGCAAAUGAGCAUCAGCUUUGGAGCCAUCAGUGCCUGCAGAAGUCACAGAGUUGGGAAUCCCCUGGCCUGAUGUGGACAGCCUCCUGGGACGAGGAAGCAGCUUCAGGAGUAAUGAGGGCUGCUGGGGUGGAUGAGCUGAUGUGGAUUUAUGACAGGGAGAGACUGCUGAGCCAGGGGCUUAAUGAGAUGACUGGCUCAACUGGUAAGGCAGCAGUACUGGUGCAGUGUGCCAGCACUCAUGCAGUUCCUUGUAUGCCCUGGCAGUGGGCUGAGACCCGGCUCAUCAGCAGCCCCAGCCAUUCCCAAUGGGAGAAGGCAUCCCUGUAACUCACGUGCAUGUCUUCUCAUGGGGUGGUCAAAGUCGUGCUUUUGGGAACAGUUCUAACUUUUAACUUCACUAGGACAUGUUUUUUAGCAUUUAUGUAGAAUAGCACCUGUAGUUUUGAUGUGAGCUGGUGUGAAUGAGGCUAGAAGCCUCUGUGUUUUUUCAUUUCUGUUUUUCAAAAAAACACUUCCAGUAAUGUUAAUUAAUGGAGAUAUGAUGAAGCCCCCAGAGGGAUGUGAGAAGCAGCCCAUCCCAAGCCAUUUACCUUCCAGGUUAACUUUGUCUCCUGCUGUGAGGAAAAGCAAAUCCUGAGCCCUGGAGCUGCAUCUAAUCCCUGCAACACUGCAUCCGCGCAGUCUGUUGAAGGUGGGAUGGCUGUGGGGUUAGUAGGCUGCCUGUCAUUGCUCAGCCAAAUUCUGGCCACAGGGCUUUGGGACAGCAGGUACUCGCUGGUGGCUUCUGAUGUCUGUCAGAUCAACUUGAGACCAGCCAUGUCUUCAAGGAAAAUCCUGACAAAUCCCAUUCCUGUGGCAUCAGCGAGUGCACACAGGCACAGAGCUGUCCGGCCCAGGCUGGGACUUGGCUCUCUGUUUCCAUUCCCUGCAUCCCUGUGCAGGAGGAGGAUGUGGCAUGGUUGAAAAGAAAGCAGAGUAGUUUUUCCCCUCUGUCUCACAAGCUAAGGCAUUGUUCCAAGAGGGAGCUUUCUGCCCUGGAUACUGAGUGUUUUCAGUCAUUCGGUUUCCUUGUACUUUUCACUACUUUUUUACUCAUUCCAAUUUAUUUUUAAUGUCCCUCUACACACUUGUUUGUAAUAAUAAACAGCAAAUGCAUGGACA
ensembl:lncRNA